rnacentral:lncRNA from 1 species
GGAGCUGCCCAGGCCAGUCUUUCUUCUCCCUAAAUUCCCCUUAUUUGCUUUAGGCAGGGUUACCUGCUUUGCAGCUGCUGGUUUCCCAAGCUGUUGCUAGGAGAUUGUUGGGGAUGCCGCUAUUUGACCUCAGUGGAGUCCCUUGGACUGGGCCUGGGGUUGGGCAUGAGGAGGCCAGAAUGGCCAGCCAAGAAGCAGGGGUCGACGUGGGUCAAAUCUAGCAAAGGACGCUGCUUUGGGGACUGGAAUACGGCUGUCUAGCACACACUCCCCGCCCGCGCCCCAGCCCCGCAAGACGAUGAAGUGACUGAAAGGCUCAGUAUUCGAGGUAGUUUGUACUCCCUAACCCAGCACCUGCAUUCCUGGAUCACCUCCCUCUAAAGCCUGAUGAGGACUCAAUUUCCCGCCCGCCCCACCUUCCUUCCUCCUCGACUGAAGCUGCGGGCUUCUUCCACCGCCACCAGGUGGCACAAUGAACUACUACUUGGACCCGCCUAGCAACCAAGAUUAGCUCCACUCUGCUCUGGGAGCCGGAACAUUUUGGAGGAGAAAGAGAUCCUGAUUAUCUUGGCAAAGGAAGAGAGCAAGAUUGCUCUACUCAGUGAGAAUAAAAUGGCCAAAUCCUAAA